GUGUUAAAAUAUUUUUUAUAAUUUAUUUAUAAUACUAUGUAUUAGGAUUAUUUUUAGUUUAUGUAAAUUCUUUGUUAAUAUUAUAUAAGAUAUUGUUAAGUCCAUUUUUUGUUUAGUUAUAUUAUGAUUUAAUUUACAGGUUAUUUUUAAUUCAUUAAGUGUAAUUAGUAUUACAAUAUAUUUAAACUUAAAUGUUUGUUUAAUUAUGUAAAAAAAAUAGUAAUUUGUAUUUUGCCUAGCUUUAUUUAUAUUAACAUCAAUUUUUUUCACUUAAAAACAUCACAUCUAAUUGCAGAAAUCUUGAUUUAAAAAGGUCUUUUAAAAUAAUAAUUUAUAAAACAACAUAUUGUUAGUAUAGGUAAUUUAAUCACAAACAAAUAUAUCUUUGGAAAUAUUAGUAUAAUAGGUAUCAA